UACGUAGGGCGCAAGCGUUAUCCGGAAUUAUUGGGCGUAAAGAGCUCGUAGGCGGUUUGUCGCGUCGGAUGUGAAAACCCAGGGCUCAACCCUGGGCCUGCAUUCGAUACGGGCAAACUAGAGUAUGGCAGGGGAGACUGGAAUUCCUGGUGUAGCGGUGAAAUGCGCAGAUAUCAGGAGGAACACCGGUGGCGAAGGCGGGUCUCUGGGCCAAAACUGACGCUGAGGAGCGAAAGCGUGGGGAGCGAACAGG
rnacentral:rRNA from 1 species